AUGUGCUGCUGCGGCACAGGAUUAAAACUCCUGCAUGCGCGUCACCGCCGCGUCAUAACGCCCGCCUCCCUCACAGCCGCAGAGAGAGCCGCAAUGUGCGCGUCGCUCAUUCAUUAUUCAGGAGGUGCAGCAGAGCAGAGCUUGUCGGACUCGGAAAUAUGGCAGCUGCUCGCUCAAAUGCUUGUUCGGGUGUCUUCCAGCCUUUUCACCUUUAGCCUCUUUAAUCUCUCCGAGAUGCGGGUCAUAGAGAUGGCAAUGGAGAGAACGGCCUGCUGUAAACAGCCCAGCAAAAGAAACAAACCAUGCCUGCGCUCUUCAAACAAACCCCACAAUUGCGUGUGUGUUGGUAAUCACAAGCUAUUCAAGUUUGCAAAUACUGCAAGUACAAAAAGAAGGAUGGGAAGCAUUGUACGAGUUUUUCUUCAGCGUGAUACAGCUCUUCUGAUGAAGUCUUCAGGAGUUGCGUGACUACCUGCAGGAUGAGAGACAGAUGCCCUUCUGUAAACUAUCCUGUGUGUGAAGAAACAAAAACUCAACUUCAGCAGGCCUCCGGAGGCUUGACUGUGAAGUUUAGUGAGCUUCCUAGUGCAGAGCACUUUUGAGAUGCAUAAGUGCAUUUAAAUGUAUGGACACAAUCUUAAAGGGCUAACAUGAGAGUUAUUACACAACCUGAAUUUCAGAGAAAAUGUUCAGUUUAUUCAGUAGGCUACUCUUAUUUGAUGUUUUUUUUCAUGAGGAUUGAUUAACAUUUCGAUCAUAAUUGCAUUCACACUCCUUUUUGACCAGUGAAAUGAUGCCCAGAAUGCAGAUCGCUUGGUUUUGAGACAUAAUGCCUAUUAUCAGGUCAUUUUUACCACACAUUUUUGCUGCUUUUUCUGCACAUUCUGGAAUAUAUAGAUUCAGUUAUUAUCAGUAAUCUAAUUUUAUAACGUUUAUAUAUGGGUGUGUGUAUUUUUUUUUUCAAAGUUUAAAACAGCUUUUGUUAUUCAGAUAUGCAGACAUGUCAGUGAACACACACACACACACACACACACACACACACAUAUAGUACAUAUGCAUUAUAUAGUAUGAAAUAGUAAAUGAAAUGUAUACUUAAUUAUACUAUACAUAAUAUAAAAUACAUAAACUGUAAAUGAUUUAUACUCAAUUUCUAACUGUUUUUAACUGUAACUACUUUUGUGGAAAAAAA
rnacentral:lncRNA from 1 species